ensembl:miRNA ocu-mir-30b ocu-mir-30b
UGUAAACAUCCUACACUCAGCUGUAAUACAUGAAUUGGCUGGGAGGUGGAUGUUUACGUC